CCUACGGUGUGCAGCAGUGAGGAAUAUUGGUCAAUGGGCGCGAGCCUGAACCAGCCAAGUCGCGUGAGGGAAGACGGUCCUAUGGAUUGUAAACCUCUUUUGUCGGGGAGCAAAAGACGCCACGCGUGGCGUUCCGAGAGUACCCGAAGAAAAAGCAUCGGCUAACUCCGUGCCAGCAGCCGCGGUAAUACGGAGGAUGCGAGCGUUAUCCGGAUUUAUUGGGUGUAAAGGGUGCGUAGAUGGCAUAGUAAGUCUUUUGUAAAAAUGCUGGGCUCAACCCAGUAGGGCAAAAGAUACUGCAAAGCUAGAGUAUGACAGAGGCAAGUGGAACUACAUGUGUAGCGGUAAAAUGCGUAAAUAUAUGUAAGAACACCAGUGGCGAAGGCGGCUUGCUGGGUCGAUACUGACAUUGAGGCACGAAAGCGUGGGGAGCAAACAGGAUUAGAUACCCCUGUAGUC
rnacentral:rRNA from 1 species